rnacentral:lncRNA from 1 species
CAUCAUAAUUCAAGAGAAUAAAAUCAAAUAAAUGUUUAAAGAGUAAAAAAAACUUGGGUAAACUCCCCCUGAAUGUAAUGUCCUAACAAAAUGUUUAGCAUUAUUAUUUUCUCCCCCUUGUUUGGAAAACACUAAAAAUCAUUUGGAAACAUAGCAUCAUGGCCUGACGGGAGGUUGUUGUGACGGUGGUGAUUGGUCGGGUUUAGAGACAAUUUAGGUUAUGACAUUGUUUAGGGUAUUUAGGAGGGUUUGGAAAUUGGCUUGAUGUUCUUCCUUUUUUGCUUGAAACAUUGUGGCAAUACGAGCUUCAUGGCGCGCAUUGUUCUCAAUAAUUAAGUGAUGAACCUAGGUCAAGAGGACUUGGGAGUUUGAGUUUGAGGGUAAUUCGAGAAUGGUUGUGGGUGGUAUUGCGGCUAAGGGUUGAGGAAUAAAAACGAUAGAUUGAAUAAGAGGUUUAGAUAGUGUUGGACUAGGGGAUAUAGUGAUAGGAUAUUGUUGUUCGAUGAUGGUGCUGGGUGAUCUGGGUGGUGUAAAUAAUGUGGUUGGUGGAGGUUGGGAAGGAACCUCUAUUGUUUCCUUCAAAGUUUGGUAUUCAUCUGAAGCAUCUUCAAGAAUAAUUGGAAGCUCUGGAUAGGGAACACAAAUAUCUUGAUAAAGAGCAUUGUUGAGAGCAGCCAACACGAAAGAUGUGAAUAAAAGCUCUUGGGCAUGGCUGAUGACUUCUUCAAGAGGAAAAGAGUUAUGGAGGACGGUUGAGGCGAGGGCAUCCCUAUAGGCAACACUGGAAGAAGGCCUAUAUUGGGCAACUUGGACCUUCUCACAAGGUGAUUAAGUUGGCUUGUUUGACAAAUGGGCUAAACUGAUCUAGG